AGGACGAACGCUGGCGGCGUGCCUAACACAUGCAAGUCGAACGAGGUCCAUCCGGUAGCAAUACUGGUGAAGAUCAAGUGGCGAACGGGUGAGUAGCACGUGAGCAACCUGCCCCGAAGACUGGGACAACACCGGGAAACCGGUGCUAAUACCGGAUAUCCCCACCGAGUCGCAUGGUUUGGUGAGGAAAUGUUUUUCGCUUUGGGAGGGGCUCGCGGCCUAUCAGCUUGUUGGUGAGGUAACGGCUCACCAAGGCUUCGACGGGUAGCUGGUCUGAGAGGACGAUCAGCCACACUGGGACUGAGACACGGCCCAGACUCCUACGGGAGGCAGCAGUGGGGAAUCUUGCACAAUGGGCGAAAGCCUGAUGCAGCAACGCCGCGUGAGGGACGAAGGCUUUCUGAGUUGUAAACCUCUUUCAGCAGGGACGAUUGUGACGGUACCUGCAGAAGAAGCCCCGGCAACUCGUGCCAGCAGCCGCGGUAAU
rnacentral:rRNA from 1 species